rnacentral:rRNA from 1 species
UACGUAGGGUCCGAGCGUUGUUCGGAAUUACUGGGCGUAAAGGGCUCGUAGGCGGCCAACUAAGUCGGACGUGAAAUCCCCAGGCUCAACCUGGGAACUGCGUCCGAUACUGGAUGGCUUGAAUCCGGGAGAGGGAUGCAGAAUUCCAGGUGUAGCGGUGAAAUGCGUAGAUAUCGGGAGGAACACCAGUGGCGAAGGCGACUACCUGGCCUGUUCUUGACGCUGAGGCGCGAAAGCGUGGGGAGCAAACAGG